GCCAGCCCGCUCAGAACUUAAAGGAAUUGACGGGGCCGCACAAGCAGUGGAGUAUGUGGUUUAAUUCGACGCAACGCGAAGAACCUUACCAAGUCUUGACAUCCUGCGACGCACAUAGAAAUAUGUGUUUCCUUCGGGACGCAGAGACAGGUGGUGCAUGGUUGUCGUCAGCUCGUGUCGUGAGAUGUUGGGUUAAGUCCCGCAACGAGCGCAACCCUUACUGUCAGUUACUACGCAAGAGGACUCUGGCAGGACUGCCGUUGACAAAACGGAGGAAGGUGGGGAUGACGUCAAAUCAUCAUGCCCUUUAUGACUUGGGCUACACACGUACUACAAUGGCGUUAAACAGAGAGAAGCAAGACCGCGAGGUGGAGCAAAACUCAGAAACAACGUCCCAGUUCGGACUGCAGGCUGCAACUCGCCUGCAUGAAGUCGGAAUUGCUAGUAAUGGCAGGUCAGCAUACUGCCGUGAAUACGUUCCCGGGCCUU
rnacentral:rRNA from 1 species